rnacentral:lncRNA from 1 species
ACUGGGGCUGGGCCCUGUCAGAGCCAGGUGGGGAUCUACAGGCUGGAGGCAGCACGCUAGGGGAGGGCUUGAGACCAAGGGAGGCUGGAGUGAUGUGGGUCCCAGGACCUGGAAAGCUAUGUUUGUAACUCUGCUCCCCAGAGUUCGCUCUUCUUGAUCAUCCUUGUUCUCUCCUGCACCUGGCUGGGCUCAUUCCUCUUCCCUAUCCCUCUGCCCCUUGACUGGCCUUCCUGGGCAAACAGCAGAUUGUGAAGUGGGAGCUGUGGGGAAGAGGGGAUGGCAUGCCUGCUGUGGGUUCAGGGAUUGUGGCCAUGUGGGCCACCCAGUGGACACUGUCCAGAUAACAUGAAAAGAGGCCAUCCACAGCGGCUCAGCUCUCUGCCCCUCAUCUUUGGGCCCCACCUCACAUUCAUAAAGAGGCUUAAAUUCUAGGGUUUUUUCCUUCAGUUCAAGAUGAGGUUUGUCAGUGAGGUCACAGACAUCCAGCAAGAGGGUUAACGGGGCUGCUUAUCCCCCCACUG